UCUAACCUAAGAGUUUGAUCCUGGCUCAGAACGAACGCUGGCGGCAUGCCUAACACAUGCAAGUCGAACGCUAUCUUUGAUAGAGUGGCGCACGGGUGAGUAACGCGUGGGAACCUGCCUUUUUCUGCGGGACAACGGUUGGAAACGACCGCUAAUACCGCAUACGCCCUACGGGGGAAAGGUCCGCCGGAGAAAGAGGGGCCCGCGUCUGAUUA
rnacentral:rRNA from 1 species